GAUGAACGCUAGCGGCAGGCCUAAUACAUGCAAGUCGAACGGUGUCUUCGGACAUAGUGGCGCACGGGUGCGUAACACGUAUGCAACCUACCUUACAUUGGGGGACAGCCUUUCGAAAGGGAGAUUAAUACCGCAUAAGACAGUAGCUGGGCAUCCAGCAGCUGUUAAAGAUUUAUCGAUGUAAGCUGGGCAUGCGUCCAAUUAGCUAGUUGGUGAGGUAACGGCUCACCAAGGCAAUGAUUGGUAGGGGAACUGAGAGGUCAAUCCCCCACACUGGCACUGAGAUACGGGCCAGACUCCUACGGGAGGCAGCAGUAGGGAAUAUUGGGCAAUGGCCGCAAGUCUGACCCAGCCAUGCCGCGUGCAGGAUGAAGGCGUUAUGCGUUGUAAACUGCUUUUAUACAGGAAGAAACGACUCUUGCGAGAGGCAUUGACGGUACUGUAUGAAUAAGCACCGGCUAACUCCGUGCCAGCAGCCGCCGUAAUAC
rnacentral:rRNA from 1 species